GUAGUGCUCACUUGGGCUUUACCUGUACUAAAAUCAGAACAAUACAGAGAAGAUUAGCAUGGCCCCCUGUGCAAAGGUGAAACCCAAUGUAACCCUACUUCCU